rnacentral:rRNA from 1 species
AGUUGGUGGGGUAAUGGCUCACCAAGGCGACGAUGCGUAGCCGACCUGAGAGGGUGAUCGGCCACACUGGGACUGAGACACGGCCCAGACUCCUACGGGAGGCAGCAGUAGGGAAUCUUCCACAAUGGGCGAAAGCCUGAUGGAGCAACGCCGCGUGAGUGAAGAAGGUUUUCGGAUCGUAAAACUCUGUUGUAAGGGAAGAACAAGUACAGUAGUAACUGGCUGUACCUUGACGGUACCUUAUUAGAAAGCCACGGCUAACUACGUGCCAGCAGCCGCGGUAAUACGUAGGUGGCAAGCGUUGUCCGGAAUUAUUGGGCGUAAAGCGCGCGCAGGCGGUCCUUUAAGUCUGAUGUGAAAGCCCACGGCUCAACCGUGGAGGGUCAUUGGAAACUGGGGGACUUGAGUGCAGAAGAGGAAAGUGGAAUUCCAAGUGUAGCGGUGAAAUGCGUAGAGAUUUGGAGGAACACCAGUGGCGAAGCGACUUUCUGGUCUGUAACUGACGCUGA